rnacentral:snRNA from 1 species
UAAGUGGCGUUCGAAGGAAUACAAGAAUGCCUAAGGUAACCUCUGCAUUGUCGCUUCAUAUUACAUAUUUAGGACUAAUUAAGUAAAUAUUUUGAUAAAUUUCAAUUUCGAAUUAUCGUGUAAAAUGAUAUAUUAGUUUCGAAUUUUUUUUUCUGAAUAUAAAAGGAACAGAAUAUUAGUUAGCUUCAUUGUCCAAUUACUAUUGUUACUUACGUUUAAUGCAUUUUCUUUUCUUUCACUUCCUUCCUUAAUACUCCAUCCUUAUGCACGGGAAAUACGCAUAUCAGUGAGGAUUCGUCCGAGAUUGUGUUUUUGCUGGUUGAAAUUUAAUUAUAAACCAGACCGUCUCCUCAUGGUCAAUUCGGUGUUCGCUUUUGAAUACUUCAAGACUAUGUAGGGAAUUUUUGGAAUACCUUUUUUCAUUACCGAUAUUCAUUCUUUCAAAGGGACUGUUUAUUUUUCUUUGGAAGUAAUAUCAAAAAAUAGGUUAGGGAUACCGGACUGAAACAUUCAAUUGAGGGCCCAACCAUAUUUUUCUUUUUCUUUUUCACCGAAUUCCGUAA